rnacentral:tRNA from 1 species
AGCUUAGUUGGUAGUGCGUCUGCCUUGUAAGCGCUAGGCCGCGGGUUCGAUUCCCGCCCGGGGCG